rnacentral:rRNA from 1 species
UACAGAGGGGGCAAGCGUUGUUCGGAAUUACUGGGCGUAAAGGGCGCGUAGGUGGCCUUCUAAGUUGAACGUGAAAUCCCUGGGCUCAACCCAGGAACUGCGUCCAAGACUGGGAGGCUUGAAUCCGGGAGAGGGAUGCGGAAUUCCAGGUGUAGCGGUGAAAUGCGUAGAUAUAGGAAGGAACACCAGUGGCGAAGGCGACCACCUGGACUGAUACUGACACUGAGGUGCGAAAGCGUGGGGAGCAAACAGG